rnacentral:rRNA from 1 species
GGUGGGGACGACGUCAAGUCAUCAUGGCCCUUACGACCAGGGCUACACACGUGCUACAAUGGAGCGUACAAAGGGUUGCAACCCCGCGAGGGUGAGCUAAUCCCAUAAAACGUUUCGUAGUCCGGAUCGCAGUCUGCAACUCGACUGCGUGAAGUCGGAAUCGCUAGUAAUCGCGUAACAGCAUGACGCGGUGAAUACGUUCCCGGGCCUUGUACACACCGCCCGUCACACCAUG